CUGGGUGCCAGUUCGGCCCCUGUCACUGCAUUGGCCGCGGCCGUGGAUGCCGCCCACGGUGCGCCAUGGCCCCGCCUUAUACAGCCACCCCAGGUCCCUCUCCCCUCUCGGUUCACUCUCUCAUCCCCCCAAAGACCUCCUCGAUCAGCCUGCUCCUCCUCCCGCGCCUUCCUUCUCCUCCUACCACCGCACGGCCGCCACUUCGGCUCGCUCAAAUUCGAGCAACACCGAGCUCACCUCCCUCCCUUUCCUCCACCCAAAGACUCCCCGUGGUCCGGCGACCCUCCCCACCUCACAAACCGUCGCGGGGAUGCACGACUGCUGAGAGCCCCGGAUGGCCGACGACCUCCGCCGCCACCGUCAAAGCUGCGGUCACCUCGGCCCCCUCCAGCGGCCGUGACCUGCACCAACGGAUGCGCCACUCCGCGCUGAGCUCGCCCAUAGGCGGAGCACCGCGGGAGACGGCCGGAGGCGCCGGCUAUCGCCGGACGAGCGCCGGCGUGCGCUCUGCCUCCCCUGCUCUGCCUCGAGCGGGAGGUAGAGGACGACCGCCCCGCCAGCUAGCAGGGGGCCCGCCCGUCAGCGGCAGAGGCGACCGAGCCGGCCCACCAGUCGGGUUAAGUGGAAACGGCUUCGGGCCGAUCCGCUUGCCCAGUGCGCCUUCGGCGUCACCUCCUCCCUCGCGCAGCUGAGCCACUGGGCCGAGCCCAGUAGGCGCUGUUUAGCUGGGCUUCGCCCAGUGCGCUUUAUAAGGCAUGGAAGAGCAGUAGUUCGAAGAAGAGUUCUUUGGAGACGAACAUGCGAACUAGGACGCUUUCCCAGUCAGAAUGCAUGUAGGGUUAAGCCAUAUGGCAUAGGUUCUACUUACCUACGAAGAUUUCCGUUUCUUAAGUUUAUUUGGUAUUCAGCCCUUGUGGCUUUAUCUAUGUAAGACUUGACCAUAAUGGUCAUAAUUUGUGUAAGACGGUAUGUAUGGAUGUAAGACUCUUGUUAUUCAGCUUAUGUGUGUUCAGUGAGCA